AUGGAGGACGCGACGGCGACGACGCUGGCGACGGAGCUCGACGGGCUGCUGGCCAUGGCGAGGGAGCUGGAGGCGCGGGUGGGCGCCGACCAGGGCGUGCCGGGUGCCGCGAGGGAGCUCUGCGCCGCGCUGGCCGCGUCCGUCGACCGGGCCGUGCGCCUCGCCGGCCGUAGCGGCAAUGCCGGCGGCAGGGCGAGCGUGAACGGCCAGCGCAGGAGCGGCAGGAAGGCGGCGGCGGCGAAGGUGCGGACGCAGGUGCGGGUGGCCUCGAUGCAGGACCUGGGUCCGCUCGACGACGGGCUCAGCUGGCGGAAGUACGGCCAGAAGGACAUCCUCGGCGCCACGUACCCCAGGUCCUACUUCCGGUGCACGCACCGGCACACGCAGGGCUGCGCCGCCACCAAGCAGGUGCAGCGGGCGACGGCCGACCCGCUGCUCUUCGACGUCGUGUACCACGGCGCGCACACCUGCGCCCAGACCGCCGUCCUGGCCGGCAUGGAGCAGCAGCAGCCGCCUGCUGCCUUCGGCCAGGAGCCGCAGAGCCCGCCGGAAGAGGUUCAGUGGCCGGCAGAGCCCGUGACUCCGUUUUCCUUCCCCUCCUGCUGCCACCUUACGGGGAGCUACGGCUACGCGGCGGCGGGCGGCGGCCUCGGAGUUGACAUGGAGCUUGAAGAUCAACUCGACGAGCUGUUCUUGGACGUGUCAGGGAUUUUCUAA
rnacentral:rRNA from 1 species